AAGUCGUAACAAGGUUUCCGUAGGUGAACCUGCGGAAGGAUCAUUAACACGUAUCCAACGUUAAACCCCCCGUGAACAUUCCGUUAGGACGCGGCAAUCCCUGGUAAAUCAUCGCCGAACAGUUUUGAUUCAGGGACCUCUGCAUGGAGUGGGCAGCAGCGCGAGGCAAGUGGCCUGGCAUUCGAAAGAAUGGCGCAGUAACGAUCGCUAGAGGCCGACACGGCCGGCGACCGGGUCACUGGGCUCACGCCCCCCUAUCACCUUUGCAUGAAAACGGGCCUGCGCUUAAUUGUGCGGCCACCAAACUCGAACAACUGUUAACAAUGGAUAUCUUGGUUCUC
rnacentral:misc_RNA from 1 species